rnacentral:lncRNA from 1 species
AGCAAAUUAGUAUAAAUCAACCAAACGCGUGAAGAUGAACGUCAUUUUGCGCCUGCACUUAACAGCGUCAGCCCGUACAACAUUUCCAGAAGCGGAGUCAUCCAUGAACAAGUCAACCCAAUCAUAAUGAAUUUGAUAAAAUUAUUCGCCCUUUUUCUGUUCAUGGCCCUAUUGGCUGGACCAACUGAAGCCAAGAGACCGAGGUGCCCAGCCUUGAAACGCGGGACAAUCGGCAUAUGCGUAGAGGAGUGUUUUUCUUCCGCUGACUGCGGGAGGAAUGGACGAUGCUGCAGUAACGGCUGCGGUCACUCGUGCGUCAACGGAAAUUGAUUUGGAAUUACGUAUGCACAUCCCAGUCUGAAGUUUAACCUGGAAUUAUACACUAAAGAUGCACUGAAUUAUAGGCAUUGCUAGCUUGAAGAAAAUGAGAUAACACUGCUUUCCAAGUAUCCUUAAUUACUGAAAUAUGAUAAAACGGUUACGCUCUCCCUGAAACAUGUGUCGCCUGGAACGCACUCUUCAUCGUUUCAACAAUGGGCGACCAAGCUGGGCCUGGCAGUCCGGACUAUUAUACCUAUUCAAUCUUGCUAGUUUAGCUACGGGCAAUCUGCAAUACUAGUGGGAAAUUAAUGGGUUAAAAGUUUUUUUUAGCUUAAUAUCAUGUUUGCCAUAAUCGUUUAAGCUUACAUAGUUAACUAUACUGCAUAUAAAUAUUAACUAAACCGCACCUGUGUAGUUGCAACUAACAUUAGAAAUAAUUUAUAGUUAUUAAUAAUUAUUCAAUUAUCUGUUCUUUGCAUUUACAGUACUUGCGCUUUCGAUAUAACCCACAUAACCCAUGAAAGUGAAAUUCACGUCAUCAAAUUUAUUGUAUCGUCUUUUUCGUGCAUUAUUCACGAGUUCUGUUCAGAGAUUCGCGAGAAGUUGCCGAAGCAUUCGAGUAUGCCAAUUUAUGAUGAUAUAAGCUCAAACAUACAUUCAAACUAAAAAAACAAAUAUCGAAUUGAUGUAAAUCCAAUCCUUAUAUCCAAUUAGAAUUUUGCACCUUUUCUUUUAAUUUCUUGGUUAAUGAACAAUUUUGUCAAAUUUUCUCGCAGUGACUUUAGAUUGCUGUCAAAUUAGGCCAAUCUCUCACUGGCUGACGAUGUGCUCCCAGUCAAUAGGUUAAUGUAACGAAGAGGGCGAACUCUGGAAAUAUAAUAUGGUCGGUCGUACUGUUUUUGCUAUAAGGUUUCUUGAUGACUUUGUAGUUCUGCUCCGUAAAUAAAAAGAAGAUUUCUCACUA